AUCCAGCUGACGAGUCCCAAAUAGGCCGAAACGUUAGUCAUGAAU
rnacentral:hammerhead_ribozyme from 1 species